ensembl:rRNA 5S_rRNA 5S ribosomal RNA
GUCUACGGCCAUACCACCCUGAACACGCCCGAUCUAGGCAGGGUUGGUCCUGGUUAGUACUUGGGUGGGAGAGUUCCCGUGUGCAUCUUGGGGACCCAGCUG